rnacentral:rRNA from 1 species
GCAGUAGCCGCGGGAAUACAGAGGGUGCGAGCGUUAAUCGGAUUUACUGGGCGUAAAGCGUGCGUAGGCGGCUAAUUGAGUCGGAUGUGAAAUCCCCGAGCUUAACUUGGGAAUUGCAUUCGAUACUGGUUAGCUAGAGUGUGGGAGAGGAUGGUAGAAUUCCAGGUGUAGCGGUGAAAUGCGUAGAGAUCUGGAGGAAUACCGGUGGCGAAGGCGGCCCCCUGGACAAAGACUGACGCUCAGGUGCGAAAGCGUGGGGAGCAAACAGGAUUAGAUACCCCGGUAGUCCCUGUCUCUUAUAU